rnacentral:misc_RNA from 1 species
ACUUCAUUGGCCUUGAAGUAAUGAUUGAAUGGCAGACAACAAGGAAUUAAAACUAAAGGAAGAUAAUCUCAAGGUCUCAGGUAACGGUGAACCAGAAAAACAACGUCUUGAGUCGCAACCCCGAAGCAACCACCGUCCACGGAUCAACGAGUUAACAAAUAUGGCAAGCACAAACAUCCUCCCAGAUGAUAUUGAUAAUACUGCCGGCCAAACAACAGAAACCCCAAACCCAAAGAAACCAAUGAAGAGGAUGGCAUCUUUCUAUACCCCAUAUAUGGAGGAUCGUUUACGUAGGAAACUCAAAUUUUAUUUCAUGGGUCCACAUGAAAAAUUUAAAGCCAAAAGAAAGUGUCCAUGGAAACUUUUGCUACAGAUCUUCAAGGUGUUUUUGGUGACUGCCCAGCUGGUGAUGUUUGGUUAUCAGAGAGCCUUGUUUGUGGAGUAUGUGGAGAAGAACAACAUUGCCAUGAAGCACAUGUACCUCCAGCAAUGGGACCCCAGCUUUGAGACCAUGCCCUACCCCCCAGCCACGGGACUGUACGCUAUCUACACAGCCACCGACCUAGUGGACCAUAUCAACUUUGCCAUGAAUCGGUUUAAUCAGACUGAACAGCUGACUUUGGGCUCGGUAAGGUUUGCAUUCAAAAACAAUACUAGGAGGUACAUGAAUAUGUGUGUGAAGCAGUACCGCGAGGGCAAGGUGUUCCAGAACGACACCUACAUAUUUAAUGCUGAAGUCGUCACAGGUAUUUAAUGCUGAAGGCGUCACAGGUAUUUAAUGCUGAAGUCGUCACAAGUAUUCCUCCAGGGGCCAGAACUUGAAUUUUUGGAUUUAUUAUGCAUGUCAUUAAGGUAGUUUUCAUACAUACUAAUUGAAACACAAGAGUACAGCUAAAUGUUUAAUCAACCAGUUCUCCUAAUAUACACAGCAUUGACAUUUGUUUGUAGAUUGUUUUUAUCUGGAGCCAGUGCCUGUCUACAAUAGGACAACAAACACAACACAACUACAGUUUGACCUCCAGGCUAUUAUGAAUAAAAAUAACAAAACCCUUGUGUAUGAUCGAAUUCUAACGAUUGAGUUAAAGUUCAAUCUGCGUUCCCUUCGUCUGGCAUUAGAGAAGAAAACCUAUGAACCAGAGUGCUUCAGGAUUUCAGGCAGGAUCGUGUUUGAUGACCAAAACAAGGAUGGUCAAAUGGUUGUCAAUCUUUUCUCAUCCUUGAAUGAAUUCAAGUGCAGCGGAAAGUUUUCCAAUUUCUCAGAUGAAGAUGACGACAAAGUGGAGCAGAUGUUGUUUGACAUUUUUGUGAUCCUUGUCAGCGUGUUCUCCUCGUUCCUGUGUAUCCGCUCCCUGUACAGAGCUCACAAUCUCCGGGAAACAGUGCAGUUUUUCAAGACUCGGCACAGGAAGGACUUGAGUUUUCAUGACAGGUUUGAGUUUGUCAACCUUUGGUACGUGUUGAUUGUGAUCAAUGAUGUUCUAACUGUGGUGGGAUCCAGCUUCAAAAUUCAGCUCGAGAGGCGACAUGCCCAGAGUUCUUCCGAGAAUUACGACAUCUGCGCUCUGAUGCUGGGUAUUGGGAGCCUCCUGGUGUGGAUGGGGGUCAUCAGAUACAUCGGCUUCUUCAAAACCUUCAAUAUUCUGACCGUGGUGUUAAAGAAGGCGUGUCCAGACCUGAUGCGGUUCCUUGUCACCACCAUGAUGCUGUAUCUGGGCUUUAUGUUCUGUGGCUGGGCUGUUUUAGGUCCCUACCACAUCAAAUUUCGCCAUCUAAGUACAACAUCAGAGUGCCUGUUUUCGUUGGUGAAUGGUGACGAUAUGUUUACGACGUUCUCAGCGACGGUGACGGAGGACAUCGUUGUGUGGUACUUCAGCAGGAUCUACCUCUACCUGUUUAUCUCUCUGUUCAUUUACGCAGUACUCAAUCUAUUUAUAGCUGUUAUCCUUGACACCUAUGAAACUAUCAAGGAGUACUAUGAGAAGGGAUUCCCCAAGAGUGAGCUGUUUGAGUUCAUUGACCAGUGUGAGGAUGCCCCGGACUCAGAGCUGUAUCGGGGAGAGGAUAAUGCGUGCUCCUGCUCUGUCUUAUCAUUUCUGUGCUGCUUUUGUUGUAAAAAAAAGAACACAGGUAGUCAAUCAGAAUACACAAGCCUCCUGAACUGAGGGCUAAACUGUAGGAAGUCAGAUUUCCAGAACUUGCCUAAUUCCAUGUCUCAGAGACUAAUAACUCGCUGGGAGCACAAAGCUGUGUGUGAGGGGAGGGAGAUUUAUGAUAUUCAUCAGCAAUAAACCAUUAAACCAGUUGCAGCUCAUUGUCUGGAGACCUCGGCUAUUUAUUGCUAUCUGUGAUGUCUGCUAGUGUUCAGAAUGACACCAUAAAAUAGUCAUGCAUGCAUGGACAUAAUAUUUUUCCCUGUGUAUGAAUGUGUGUCUGAUAAUUAUUCAUGUGUAUUACAUGUAUGUGUGUGUGAUUCAAAGUUCCAAAACCCGCUUAUAAGACAGAGAACUUUCUCUUGGUUAAGUGACUACUUCGUGUUAUUCUUUCCAGAACUUAUUGAAAUGCUGUAUCUGGUCUAUUAUCCUUAAAGAGUGCUCAAACUGUGUAUCAUUAUCAGUGAUCACAGGGCAGAAUUUAAUAAGGAUAAACAAAGGGAUGACGAAACUCAGGAAGUUGUAUAGUGAGAUGCACUGUGUGCAUUAUAUUUGGUGCAUUUUAAUAAUUAUUUUUUUUAAUUUAUGUUGUAUAAAACUGCAGAGUGCAAUACAGGACAGACUUUAUGUGUCUUCCACAUAGGAUAACAUUUAUGGUCCUAUGUACACCGUCAAAGUGCUAAGUUUAAGAGUAAAUGUUAAUUAUUAUAAUUUAUGUGCUUUACAUGACAUUUAAAAAAGAAUGAAAGUUGAAUGUUAAUUUAUUUUUGAGAUUGUAAGCAUAAUUACAUGUACCUGUGUCUGAUACACCUACCUUGUCUUAAACUAAUGAAAUAGUUUACUAGGAAUGUUCUGGCAGAUCAAAUAUGGUUGUCAUUAAAGAGCAGCUAGAGUUUAUAGUGCUGGUCUACGCUGGGUGGACAUUACCCCACAGUAAUGUGCAUUAUAUGUUCUUUUGUAAUAAAAAGCAUUGACUUUC